UACGGAGGAUCCAAGCGUUAUCCGGAAUUACUGGGCGUAAAGGGCUCGUAGGCGGCCAACUAAGUCAGACGUGAAAUCCCUCGGCUUAACCGGGGAACUGCAUCUGAUACUGGAUGGCUUGAGUUCGGGAGAGGGAUGCGGAAUUCCAGGUGUAGCGGUGAAAUGCGUAGAUAUCUGGAGGAACACCGGUGGCGAAGGCGGCAUCCUGGACCGACACUGACGCUGAGGAGCGAAAGCCAGGGGAGCAACGGG
rnacentral:rRNA from 1 species